UACGAAGGGGGCUAGCGUUGUUCGGAAUUACUGGGCGUAAAGCGCGCGUAGGUGGUCAUGCAAGUCAGGGGUGAAAUCCCAGAGCUCAACUCUGGAACUGCCUCUGAAACUGUGUGACUUGAGUAUCGGAGGGGAUGGUGGAAUUUCUAAUGUAGCGGUGAAAUGCGUAGAGAUUAGAAGGAACACCGGUGGCGAAGGCGACCAUCUGGACGAUUACUGACACUGAGGCGCGAAAGCGUGGGUAGCAAACAGG
rnacentral:rRNA from 1 species